UACGACUACAUAUCAGGCAUAUCAAUAAGCGGAGGAAAAGAAGCUAACAAGGAUUCCCCUAGUAACGGCGAGUGAAGCGGGAAGAGCUCAAAUUUGAAAUCUUAAAGGGUUUCCCUUUACGAAUUGUAGUUUAAAGAAGUGUUUUCUGUUGGAGUUUCGGUAAAAGUUCUUUGGAAUAGGACAUCAUAGAGGGUGAGAAUCCCGUAUUUGACCGUUACUUUCCAGCUGUGUGAUACACUUUCAAAGAGUCGGAUUGUUUGGGAAUGCAGUCCAAGAUGGGUGGUAAAUUUCAUCUAAAGCUAAAUAUUGGCGAGAGACCGAUAGCGAACAAGUACCGUGAGGGAGAGAUGAAAAGAACUUUGAAAAGAGAGUUAAACAGUACGUGAAAUUGUCAAAAGGGAAGCGUUUGACACCAGUGUUGUUUUUCCGAAAAUCAAUUAUAAAUGUUUUGUUUCUGAGGAGUGAUGACUUCAUCGGCUUCCUUCUCUCUUCACGAAACUUUUGUAAUGCACUUUUCGGUUAACAAGUCAACAUCAAUUUCUUUUGUUGUAAAAGGGUAUUUGGAAGGUGGCUUUCUUUUCGGAGAAAGUGUUUAUAGCCUUAUACCUCUACAAUCGGAGAGAUUGAGGUCUGCAGCGUAGAUCCUUCGGGGCUAGAUACACUUGUGCUAAGUUAUAGCUUUUCAUAGACAACUUGUUGACUAUGUUUAGUCAUGUAGCUUACCCGCUUGUGCUAUUUUACCUACGCUUAGGAUGUUGAUCUACAGAGCGAGAGU
rnacentral:rRNA from 1 species